CUGAGAGUUUGAUUCUGGCUCAGAACGAACGCUGGCGGCAUGCCUAACACAUGCAAGUCGAACGAUGACGAAACAGCUUGCUGUUUCUGAUUAGUGGCGGACGGGUGAGUAAUGUAUAGGGAUCUGCCUGACAGUGGGGGACAACAGCCGGAAACGGCUGCUAAUACCGCAUACGCUCUACGGAGGAAAG
rnacentral:rRNA from 1 species